GGCCAUGACGAGUUUUGCUUUUUUUUCUGACCCCUCUUGUACGAGAGGUUUUUCUUUCCGUGAGCACAAAAAGAAACCAUCUGAGCU